rnacentral:rRNA from 1 species
CACGUAGGGCGCGAGCGUUGUCCGGAAUUUAUUGGGCGUAAAGAGCUCGUAGGCGGCCUGUUGCGUCCGGCUGUGAAAGCCCGGGGCUUAACCCCGGGUCGGCAGUGGAUACGGGCAGGCUAGAGGUAGGUAGGGGGGAAUGGAAUUCCCGGUGUAGCGGUGAAAUGCGCAGAUAUCGGGAGGAACACCGGUGGCGAAGGCGGUUCUCUGGGCCUUACCUGACGCUGAGGAGCGAAAGCGUGGGGAGCGAACAGG